AUUGAACGCUGGCGGCAUGCCUUACACAUGCAAGUCGAACGGUAACAGGUCUUCGGAUGCUGACGAGUGGCGAACGGGUGAGUAAUACAUCGGAACGUGCCCGAGAGUGGGGGAUAACGCAGCGAAAGCUGUGCUAAUACCGCAUACGAUCUACGGAUGAAAGCAGGGGAUUCGCAAGGACCUUGCGCUCAUGGAGCGGCCGAUGGCAGAUUAGGUAGUUGGUGGGAUAAAAGCUUACCAAGCCGACGAUCUGUAGCUGGUCUGAGAGGACGACCAGCCACACUGGGACUGAGACACGGCCCAGACUCCUACGGGAGGCAGCAGUGGGGAAUUUUGGACAAUGGGGGAAACCCUGAUCCAGCCAUGCCGCGUGCAGGAUGAAGGCCUUCGGGUUGUAAACUGCUUUUGUACAGAACGAAAAAGUCUUUAAUAACACUAGAGGCUCAUGACGGUACUGUAAGAAUAAGCACCGGCUAACUACGUG
rnacentral:rRNA from 1 species